UACGUAGGGGCAAGCGUUGUCCGGAAUCAUUGGGCGUAAAGCGCGCGUAGGCGGCCCGGUAAGUCCGCUGUAAAAGUCCAGGGCUCAACCCUGGAAAGCCGGUGGAUACUGUCGGGCUUGAGUACGGAAGAGGCGAGUGGAAUUCCUGGUGUAGCGGUGAAAUGCGCAGAUAUCAGGAGGAACACCAAUUGCGAAGGCAGCUCGCUGGGACGUUACUGACGCUGAGACGCGAAAGCGUGGGGAGCAAACAGG
rnacentral:rRNA from 1 species